AAAAGCUGUUAGAAGUGUGCACAACAAACAAGAAAACUUGAAGUCGUUUAAAAGAUCAACGGAAAAGACGUACAACAAAAGUUUUAAGAGCAGCUUUAACUCGCAUUCCGAAAACGAUUCUUCUACCAGUCAGCACCAGGUAUCUGAAGACAAUUCGGAAGGUCCCCGCAUGAAUGUCUACUCCAGACUGCGUGACAAAAUAUUGACCAAGAAGAAAGCCAAUCUCAUUGACAACAAAUGCGAAGAUCCGAAAAUCUUCUCCAGACUGCGUGACAAAAUAUUGUCCAAGAAGAAAGCCAAUUUCAUUGACAACAAAUGCGAAGAUCCGAUUCCUUUCUCAAGCGAGUCAUCCCAAGGGUCUCCCAAUGUUGUACUUCGGGCUUUAAGGUUAAUUAACAGGAACUCGCGCGUGGAAAGAAGCCAUUCAACAAAGAACGCUAGUACGACUGUAACACAAAUGUGAGAAGGACAAAUAAUAUAUUGAUCCAAACCUGCAAUCAGAGCAAGGCGAAUAAACAUACCAAUAAUGACGAAACUGUUAACAUCGAGCGUAGUCAUUUUCACAUAGCCACGACUAACCUUGACCAAGCAGAUUUAAAAAAAAAGAAUUAGUACAACAGUACUACAUAAUAAUACUAAUGUAUUUACUUGUUAAUUGUUGAAUACCCUAACGUGUAUUUUGCUUUCUUCGAACAGCUUUAGGCAAAGUUUGUGCACGUGUUGACUAUUUACAUCAGAUCUAUCGACAUGUAUUGCUAUUUAGGAAAGUGUACGUGUUGUCUUUUCAUUUCAAAACACUGUUGAUUAAUUUACACAGCUAUGCUUAUUUAUUUACUUUCGUUAAUUGUUGCAUACCCUUACUUGUAUGAUGCUUUCUUCGAACAUCUUUAGUCAAAGUUUUAUGCACGUGUUGACUAUUUACUUCAGAUCUAUCUACACGUAUUGCUAUUUAGGAAAGUGUAAGUGUUGUCUUUUCAUUUUAAAACACAGUUGAUUAAUUGGCAAUCAUUAUUUUACGUGUGCAUCUAUCACCGAUUAAGCUUAAGUGAUGUUAUUGCCUUAAUUUUUACAACUUCUUCUAUGGUUCGUUUCAAGUAGUUACCAAUAGUUACCAAUGAUUUGCGUAUGUUUCAGCAAUUCUAAAUCCUUGUAUUAUGUUGUUGUUGUCAAUCUUUAAAAAUAUUUAUAUUUGCUGUAACAUUUAAUAAAGAUCAUAUAUACUA